AAAAUAAUAAUUUUAUGUGUUUGCAUUUAUGAGGCAAAAACAACAUUAUGGACGUGACAGUUCUCCAUUACGGACGUGACCGGUCUGAAAGCGGCACAGAAGACUGCUUUAAAACUGCUUUAAAACUUUCACAGAGACCUCAAGCAGGCAUUUAAUCUACCAAAUAUUGAAAUCUGGGAUACAGGGAAGAAAAAGAAGAGGGAGUAAAAUCUUUGCGUGGCAGGGGGAGCUGCCACUCGACCCAUCACUGCUAGAGACAGCUGCCACUCAACCUGCCACCGUUAUAUGUGCCUGCCACAGGACCCGUCACGGAUAUAUAUGCACCUGUCACGGGACCCGUCACGGGUACAUGUGCCUGCCACGGGAACCAUGCACCUGCCCCGUGAUCUUACACAAUAUAUUCUCUGAUCAAGAGUUUGAUCCACAGGCUGUGACCCAGGAGAAAGAAGCAAUCAGAGAUGUACCUGGUGGAGAGUUGAGCACCUCUUCUUCCUCAUCUGCAGAAAGCAGACCUUAAGAUCUGGAGACCACCGGAGGUUGCGCCUCUACCAGCACUAUGUGUGUUUUCUCCUCCGAAGAGAGUGAGAAGACUUAUCUGCUGGCUGAACUUCAGGCCGCAGUGGUUCUUCAAGAUCAAUCAUCUCUAAUGUCGAUCUUCACCGGUGGGUCAUUGUUGUUGAUGUAAUUGCAGACUACUUAAUGAAAUCAAAACCUCACAUGGACAAGUGCAGUUGAUGACAUAUCUUUGUAGGCCAACCCUUAAGUUAGUAUCACCCUGGUUCCCUCGACAAAAAGACAAUAGGAUUUUUAUAUUUGCUUUUGGAUUUGGAAAUAACCUCUGUGACAAGAAAAACUUCAUAAUAUUUACAGAUUUUGUUCAUCAUGGUAAUCUUCACAAGUGAACACAGCUUUAAUUUUGAAGCAUACAUACAAUUGGCAGAAGGAAAAAGCUAAAUGUAGAAUUAAGCAUGAAAAUAUCUUGUUGACCUCAGACCUUAUUUCAAAAACUCAUUAUUUGACAAGAACCAAUAAGUUUCAUUCACGUGUUACGCAGAAUGUUUGAGCCACAUGAACCAAUGACGUUCAUUCUCAUGGUACGCAGCACGUUUGAGCUUCCUUAAGAACCAAUGAGGUUCAUUCUCUUGUUAUUCAGCACGUUUGAGCUUGCGCAAGAACCAGUGAGGUUCAUUCUUGUAUUACGCAGCACAUUUGACUUUCAGCAAAAAACGAUCAGGUUCAUUCUCGUGUUACGCAGCACGUUUGGUCUUCUGCAAGAACCAGUGAAGUUCAUUCUUGUGUCACGCAGCAUGUUUGAGCUUGCUCAAGAACCAAUGAGGUUUAUUCUCAUGUGACGCAGCACAUUUGAGAUUCAGCAAAAACCAAUGAGGUUCAUUCUCAUGUUUUAUGCAGCACAUUUGAACUUCUGCAAGAACCAAUGAAGUUCAUCCUUGUGUUUCGCAGCAUGUGUGAGCUUCCAUAAGAACCAAUGAGGUUAAUUCUCGUGUUACGCAGCACCUUUCAGCUUCCUCAAGAACCAAUGAGGUUCAUUCUCAUGUGUUACGCAGCACGUUGAGUUUCUGAAAGAACCAAUGUGGUUCAUUGGUUGAACAGUGAUCAGUCUCGGCUGGUCCCAGGAGCAUACGAUCACACCGGUGUGAUUAACUGCCAAAUUCAAAUGUGCAUGCGCACUUUGGCUGGCGCUAAACCAGAGACGAACACGUGCAGCGCUUUUCAUAUAUUACAUAUAUGCAGUGUUUUCAACCAUAUAAUGUUUAUUUUAAGUUUCAGACAUUUAGAUAAACAUGAGUAUUAACAAAACAACAUACUUGGAGUUUGUAAAAUACACAGUGAUGUCUAUAGAAGCAGACAUAGCAACCCUUUCCAUUAUAAUUGGACGACACAUUUUAUUCAUAUCAGAUACACAUUGUUAAAGUAACUUUAAAGCUUACUCUAUUCUUCCAUAGUUCACCGACUCACUUACUUUCAUGUAUUUCUGGAGAAGUGGAUGAAUUCACGGGUUGUAAAUCCAACAGAUCCGAUUCUCUGUGCGGCGCAAACUAACAUGACGGCGCCUAUAGAGCAUAUAGCUCAUCGAACAUGAUCGUUAUAAAGAUGUUUAAACAGCAAAACACAUCCACUUUUACAUAUUUGGCAAUUGGAAUAUCAGAUAUUUCAUGCUAUAGUUAACAAAUUUGUGAAUAUUUUGAAUAAAAAAGGAAAAAUUAAACAAGCAGAUUAUCAGUCAUACAGCGUUGCGUUGUGUCACGUAAGAAGCAAUGACGCGUCACCAUGGAAACAAUAAAGUGAUACGUUCUAAAUAACGGUCGCCUUAAACUCUGCUGGGGUGUCAGCCAGAAUAUUUUAAACUUGCGUGCAAAAGGGUUAAGAACCACUGAGGUUCAUUCUCGUGUUAUCCAGAACGUUUGAGCAUCCUCAAGAACCAAUGAGGUUCAUUCUCGUGUUAUGCAGCAUGUUUGAGCUUCUGCAAGAACCAGUGUGGUUCGUUCUUGUAUUAUGCAGUACAUGUGAGUUUCAGCAAGAACCGAUCAGGUUCAUUCUCGUUAUGCAGCACGUUUGAGCUUCAGCAACAACCAGUAAGGUUCAUUCUUGUGUUAUGCAGCACGUUUGAGCUUCCUUAAGUAAAAAGAGGUUCACUCAGCACCUUUCAGCUUUCUCAAGAACCCAUGAGGUUCAUUCUCGUGUGACGCAGCACGUGUGAACUUCAGCAAAAACGAAUGAGGUUCAUUCUCGUGUUUUACGCAGCACGUUUGAACUUACGCAAGAACCAAUGAGGUUAAUUCUCGUAUUACUCAGCACAUUUCCCUCAUGGAAAGAAAAUAUAUUUCCCUAAUAUAUGAAUGAUCAAAAUAUUACAUGAUUUAAUAGUAUAUUUGCAAAUAUACAAAAAAUAUAUUGUGUAAAUAUAUUGCAAUAUAUUGAAUAAUCCAUAAGGAAUUGCCGCUUUUCAUAUAUUGAAAAAAAAUAUGUGAUAAUAUAUUUACUAAUAUAUCAUAAUGAUUCUAAUUUUAUAUUCAGUAAUAUACUUCAUAAUAUAUAGAUUUAUAUGUGAUCAGAUAUGGUACUGCAUGCAUAAUAUUUUGCAAAUAUAAAUUUACUCAUGAGGUAUAAACACAUAUAUGGUAAAAUAUAUUAUGUAACACAUUUCUUAUAUUUCAUAAUUAUUUACAUUUUAAAUGUUUCAUAUUUUCAAGUUAGUUAACAAAAGCACACCUGCAUGUACUAAAGUUUCUACCAAAGAGACUAUCAUUGUCCUAUAGCGUGCACAGCCAUUACUUUUUAAAUAAAGAUUUUAAAUAAAUUAUAGUCUUAAUGUUAUUCAGCCGAUCAUCAACCUAACCACAGGCUCUACUCUUCAGCACAAUGGUAACCCCAAAAACUCACACGUACCAGAAAACCUUUUAAAUUUCAAAAUAAUACAGCUUUAAACAGAUCUCCCCCUAUAACAAUAUUGAAACAUGAAAUAGCACUUAAUUUUAACAUUUACUCUCCUUUUAACAGUCAGAAGCAAAGCAUGCUGGGAACUAGAAGUCUGUUGUAACCACUGAUUGUAACUCAUUCCAUGAAUGUUUGUAUAUAUGUGUGUGUACAAUACAUUCACAUUUAUAUGGGAACAUGUGCAAUAUAUGUACACAAUAAAGGAUAAAACUUUAUGAAUGCUAUUUUUGUCUUAAUUUAUAAAUGUUUUAUAUGUAUCAAUAUAUAGCCAUUCAUGGCCAAUGCAUAUAUUGCAGUAUAUUGAAAAAUAUAAGCACUAGUUUCCCAUAUAUGGAAAUGUAUUAU